AUAAUUUAAACUAGACUACUACAGGUUUUAAAAGUUGAUCUUACAUACCUACGAAUAAUAAAGCUCAAGCUACACUACGCGAUUUGGGUAGCUUCAGCCUUUGUAAUAGCGCGCUACAAGCAACAAAUAGGUACCUACUUAUAGAUUUUGAGCGACAUUGAGCUACAGGUAGGUAAACAUAAACCAGAAAAGAAUUCUUUAAUCAACAUAGAACAUGUUAACAUUUUGAGAAACUUAAUAAUAAGUAAACACUAUGCCUGAAAAAAUGCUUUUACUAAUCUUAGUUCAUGUGAUACUUAGAGAUGAACACUAGAACAUUCAUUCUUAAUAUUAUACCUACAAUACCUAGUAAUAAUAAGAUACAAAGUCAUCUGGGUCGCCUAAUCGAUCGCAUCGCACUGCGUCGCUCUCACAUUUUUUUUCGUUUCAGAUUAUUUCAAGGACCUUCAUCUGGGUAUACUACGCACUAUUCAUUUAUUUGCGAUAGUUUGCGAUUGCGAUUAGAUUUGGUGGCCUUACUAACAUCAAAUAUACAAGAAAUAUUCCAAGUCCUAAAAAAUGGCACAUACAUUUG